GCUUUGCUGACUUUGGCUGAUGGGUAGCGCGUGGGGCUCUUAAUCUCAGGGUCGUGGGUUUGAGCCCCACGUUGGGCA